AAAUACCCUUGUUAAUUUCACUCCAACCCUUCUUUUCAGAUUUUUUCCAAUUCAUUUCAAACAAAAUGAAACCCUAGCAGAGAGCCCCUCCUCCAUGAAAACCAAUCCCUAACGAGGCUUUUCUUCAAAUUCACGGAGGUUCCACCGGCGUCGGCGCCGCCUCGCCGCCGAUUUGGAUUUGCAUGGCCACCACGCUUCUUAUUCUAGAAGGAAAUCGUUCUCGUUUGUGUUCGUCAUCACAGCUCAUCUCGGUUCACCGCCACUGCGUUUUCACCGCCAUCAUCGCGACUCUGUUCAGAUCCUAUGCGUUGUGUGGUUGUGCGUGGCCUCUCUCCUCCGUCUGAGCUCGAUUGCUCGCGCGUCUCUCGCCUCUGCGUCUGCUCGAGUUGUGCUUCGUGUUCGUGCUGUCUCCCUUGCCUCUCUCCCUCCUCGCAUCUUCCUGUUCCUGUUCAUCUUUUUCAAGAACAGUGUAUUACACUGGUAGAUCCACUGUCUGCUCAUAAUGCUUUUGCUGAUAUCACUCUGUGAAAAUGUGAGAAGGACACACAAACAGGACUUCAUGCUUUUCUACUUCUCAAACAAUUAAAUCAAGUGAAGUAUAUCAAAUUUGAGGGUUCUGAGG